GGUUGCAUAGCUCAGUUGGUAGAGCACCGCGUUCACAUCGCGGUUGUCACAGGUUCGAGUCCUGUUGCAACCACCA
rnacentral:tRNA from 1 species